GACGAACGCUGGCGGCGUGCUUAACACAUGCAAGUCGAACGAUGAACCCGGAGCUUGCUCCGGCGGAUUAGUGGCGAACGGGUGAGUAACACGUGAGUAACCUGCCCUUGACUCUGGGAUAACUGCGGGAAACUGUAGCUAAUACCGGAUACGACCCUCGGCGGCAUCGCCAGGGGGUGGAAAGAAUUUCGGUCAAGGAUGGACUCGCGGCCGAUCAGCUAGUUGGUGAGGUAACGGCUCACCAAGGCGACGACGGGUAGGCGGCCUGAGAGGGUGACCGACCACAGUGAGACUGAGACACGGCCCAGACUCCUACGGGAGGCAGCAGUGGGGAAUAGUGCACAAUGGGCGCAAGCCUGAUGCAGCAACGCCGCGUGAGGGAUGACGGCCUUCGGGUUGUAAACCUCUUUUAGUAGGGAAGAAGCGAAAGUGACGGUACCUGCAGAAAAAGCACCGGCUAACUACGUGCCAGCCGCCGCCGUAA
rnacentral:rRNA from 1 species